GAUGAACGCUAGCUACAGGCUUAACACAUGCAAGUCGAGGGGCAGCAUGGUCUUAGCUUGCUAAGACUGAUGGCGACCGGCGCACGGGUGAGUAACACGUAUCCAACCUGCCGUCUACUCUUGGACAGCCUUCUGAAAGGAAGAUUAAUACAAGAUGGCAUCAUGAGUCCGCAUGUUCACAUGAUUAAAGGUAUUCCGGUAGACGAUGGGGAUGCGUUCCAUUAGAUAGUAGGCGGGGUAACGGCCCACCUAGUCUUCGAUGGAUAGGGGUUCUGAGAGGAAGGUCCCCCACAUUGGAACUGAGACACGGUCCAAACUCCUACGGGAGGCAGCAGUGAGGAAUAUUGGUCAAUGGGCGAGAGCCUGAACCAGCCAAGUAGCGUGAAGGAUGACUGCCCUAUGGGUUGUAAACUUCUUUUAUAAAGGAAUAAAGUCGGGUAUGCAUACCCGUUUGCAUGUACUUUAUGAAUAAGGAUCGGCUAACUCCGUGCCAGCAGCCGCGGUAAUACGGAGGAUCCGAGCGUUAUCCGGAUUUAUUGGGUUUAAAGGGAGCGUAGAUGGAUGUUUAAGUCAGUUGUGAAAGUUUGCGGCUCAACCGUAAAAUUGCAGUUGAUACUGGAUAUCUUGAGUGCAGUUGAGGCAGGCGGAAUUCGUGGUGUAGCGGUGAAAUGCUUAGAUAUCACGAAGAACUCCGAUUGCGAAGGCAGCCUGCUAAGCUGCAACUGACAUUGAGGCUCGAAAGUGUGGGUAUCAAACAGGAUUAGAUACCCUGGUAGUCCACACGGUAAACGAUGAAUACUCGCUGUUUGCGAUAUACUGCAAGCGGCCAAGCGAAAGCGUUAAGUAUUCCACCUGGGGAGUACGCCGGCAACGGUGAAACUCAAAGGAAUUGACGGGGGCCCGCACAAGCGGAGGAACAUGUGGUUUAAUUCGAUGAUACGCGAGGAACCUUACCCGGGCUUAAAUUGCAGAUGAAUUACGGUGAAAGCCGUAAGCCGCAAGGCAUCUGUGAAGGUGCUGCAUGGUUGUCGUCAGCUCGUGCCGUGAGGUGUCGGCUUAAGUGCCAUAACGAGCGCAACCCUUGUUGUCAGUUACUAACAGGUUCCGCUGAGGACUCUGACAAGACUGCCAUCGUAAGAUGUGAGGAAGGUGGGGAUGACGUCAAAUCAGCACGGCCCUUAUGUCCGGGGCUACACACGUGUUACAAUGGGGGGUACAGAGGGCCGCUACCACGCGAGUGGAUGCCAAUCCCAAAAACCUCUCUCAGUUCGGACUGGAGUCUGCAACCCGACUCCACGAAGCUGGAUUCGCUAGUAAUCGCGCAUCAGCCACGGCGCGGUGAAUACGUUCCCGGGCCU
rnacentral:rRNA from 1 species